rnacentral:rRNA from 1 species
GAUGAACGCUGGCGGCGUGCUUAACACAUGCAAGUCGAACGGAAAGGCUCCUGCCUGCCGGGGUACUCGAGUGGCGAACGGGUGAGUAACACGUGGGUGAUCUGCCCUGUACUUCGGGAUAAGCUUGGGAAACUGGGUCUAAUACCGGAUAUGACAAUCUCUUGGGUGGGGUUGUAGAAAGCUUUUGCGGUAUGGGAUGAGCUCGCGGCCUAUCAGCUUGGUGGUGGGGUAAUGGCCUACCAAGGCGUCGACGGGUAGCCGGCCUGAGAGGGUGUACGGCCACAUUGGGCCUGCGAUACGGCCCAGACUCCUACGGGAGGCAGCAGUGGGGAAUAUUGCACAAUGGGCGCAAGCCUGAUGCAGCGACGCCGCGUGGGGGAUGACGGCCUUCGGGUUGUAAACUCCUUUCGCAACCGACGAAGCUUUUGUGACGGUAGGUUGAGAAGAAGCACCGGCUAACUACGUG